GCCAGGAACAUCCUGCUUCCUUUUCUUACUUAGUCUGACCCUGGGCAGCUCAGUCAGUCCCUCCGCAGCAUCUGUUAAACCCGGUCUAGGCAAGAGCGGAAGGAGUCCAAGCCCGCCUGGCAUCAUGAAGCCCCUCGGAGAGCCCGGCCGGGACUAGCAGGCAGCCGGGAACGGGGAGCCAAGGCUGCCAAGCCAGCCUCAAGUCACCCGUCUUGGGCGCCCACGCUCCCCAGCCAUAUGGCCUGAGAAAUGGGACCAUUGUUAGGCCCUACUCGGAGUCAUUUGCUGCGGCUGCUGCCUUCCCGCCCCCCACAGCUCAGCUCCCUCGCGGGCCGGGGCCGGUCUCCUUCCCAGCAGCCUCCUGGAGCCAGCGCCUCUGCUCCCUUUCCUUCAGGCCCCGUCGCGUCACCCACGCUGGCAGCGCUCGGCAGGGGCUGAAGGGCAACCUCUCUACAACUCAAAGGGGGGGUUCUAAGACGGGGCUUGGUGUCCAACACUAGUGAGAAGCUCCCGCUCAGGGCUCGCAGAGCAUCUAAUGAGACCCGGGGGGGGUCGAGCCCCUGCCCAUGACCCUCCCUUGUCCCUCUUCUCCUCAGUCUUCCAAGAUCUAGAAAUACGAAUAAUAAUAAAAGAUGAAUAAUAAAAUGUUA
rnacentral:lncRNA from 1 species